rfam:Gammaproteobacteria bacterium GWF2_41_13 gwf2_scaffold_10954, whole genome shotgun sequence.
AAAUAAAUCCGUAAAAACGAAGAUAUUUGAAGUGAUUAGGAGUAUAUAAAUGGCCCGUAUUGGUGGAGUUAACAUACCAGAC